CUCCGGUUCUUGCCGUUAUGCCUUCUCUGCCUCGAUGUACUAUCCUCUCCAACACUGUCUGACCUCUUCUGAGAUGAUGCUGUGACAGGAACAUACUCUGUGGAACAGAAGGAAUGAUGACACAGCCAGCUCUCCCCACACCGUUCCAGUGAGGAAGGGUCAGAGUUGUGCCAUUAAUUAAAAUGAGCCUCCCUUUGUCUUUAAUGUAUCACACGCAUUUGCAAAGCCACUGGUCUCCAACAGCAAAGCAUACUCAAAAAAGUUGCCUGUGUGAGGAACCAGCCAAGAAUAAUAAUUAGCUCUUUGACAUAUCAAUUUCUAAUGAGUUCCUUAUUUGUUUUCAAGUCCUCGUGUCAUAUCUAUUAAGUAAACAGAUUCAUAGUGUUUCUAAUAUGCCUCUGCUAUCUGUACAUGCAAAAUCAAAGCUAAAACCUCUGUUCUAUUGUAUAUUCAUCUUGAAUUAGUAGAUAAAAUGACCAUAGACGGUGAGAAACUAACUUUAAAUGUGAGUGUGUAAUAAUACAAAGUACAUUUUUAUCAAAAAAAUCAAUAAACAAAAUUGAAUUUUU